UACGGAGGGUGCGAGCGUUGUCCGGAAUCAUUGGGCGUAAAGGGCGCGUAGGUGGCCCGGUCAGUUCGUGGUGAAAGCGCGGGGCUCAACCCUGCGUCGGCUAUGAAUACUGCCGCGGCUGGAGCACUGUAGAGGCAGGCGGAAUUCCGGGUGUAGCGGUGGAAUGCGUAGAGAUCCGGAAGAACACCGGUGGCGAAGGCGGCCUGCUGGGCAGUUGCUGACACUGAGGCGCGACAGCGUGGGGAGCAAACAGG
rnacentral:rRNA from 1 species